AGCGGCGAACGGGGUAGUAAUGCGUAGGUGACGUGCCCUUGGGGCCGGAAUAGCUACGGGAAACUGUAGGUAAUGCCGGAUAAUCUCCCGAUUUUUGAAGAGAAUGGGAGCAAUGGGUGUGAUUCCACCCAUGGAGCGGCCUGCGUGGUAUUAGCUAGUUGGUGAGGUAAUGGCUCACCAAGGCUCAGAUGCCUAGGGGGUGUGAGAGCAUGGCCCCCACCACUGGGACUGAGAUACUGCCCAGACACCUACGGGUGGCUGCAGUCGAGAAUCUUCGGCAAUGGACGAAAGUCUGACCGAGCGACGCCGCGUGCGGGAUGAAGGCCCUCGGGUUGUAAACCGCUGUCAGAGGGGAUGAAAUGCGCAUGGGUUAUCCCAUGCGCUUGACAGAGCCUCAGAGGAAGCACGGGCUAAGUACGUGCCAGCAGCCGCGGUGAUACGUACAGUGCGAACGUUAUUCGGAAUUACUGGGCUUAAAGGGUGUGUAGGCGGCUGAUUAAGUAGGGUGUGAAAUGCCUCGGCCUAACCGGGGCACUGCGCUCUAAACUGAUCGGCUUGAGUGAGAUAGGGGUGUGCGGAACUUCCAGUGGAGCGGUGAAAUGUGUUGAUAUUGGAAGGAACGCCGGUGGCGAAAGCGGCACACUGGGUCUCAACUGACGCUGAGACACGAAAGCCAGGGGAGCGAACGGGAUUAGAUACCCCGGUAGUCCUGGCUGUAAACGAUGAGCACUAGU
rnacentral:rRNA from 1 species